GUCGAGGGGCAGCGGGGUAGUGCUUGCACUACUGCCGGCGACCGGCGCACGGGUGAGUAACACGUAUGGAACCUGCCCGCAGCAGGGGGAUAAGCGGAAGAAAUUCCGUCUAAUACCGCGUAACAACGUUGGGAGGCAUCUCCCGAUGUUUAAAGAUUUAUCGGCUGCGGAUGGCCAUGCGGCGCAUUAGCUAGUCGGCGGGGUAACGGCCCACCGAGGCGACGAUGCGUAGGGGUUCUGAGAGGAAGGUCCCCCACACUGGUACUGAGACACGGACCAGACUCCUACGGGAGGCAGCAGUGAGGAAUAUUAGUCAAUGGCCGAGAGGCUGAACCAGCCAAGUCGCGUGAGGGAAGACGGCCCUACGGGUUGUAAACCUCUUUUGUCGGGGAGCAAAGCGAGUCACGUGUGACUCAUUGAGAGUACCCGAAGAAAAAGCAUCGGCUAACUCCGUGCCAGCAGCCGCGGUAAUACGGAGGAUGCGAGCGUUAUCCGGAUUUAUUGGGUUUAAAGGGUGCGCAGGCGGAGGUGCAAGUCAGCGGUCAAAUUGCGGGGCUCAACCCCGUACUGCCGUUGAAACUGCAUCCCUUGAGUGCGCGAGAAGUAUGCGGAAUGCGUGGUGUAGCGGUGAAAUGCAUAGAUAUCACGCAGAACUCCGAUUGCGAAGGCAGCAUACCGGCGCGCAACUGACGCUCAUGCACGAAAGCGUGGGUAUCGAACAGGAUUAGAUACCCUGGUAGUCCACGCAGUAAA
rnacentral:rRNA from 1 species